rnacentral:rRNA from 1 species
GGGCUACCACGUGCUACAAUGGUCGGUACAAAGGGUUGCUACACNGCGAUGUGAUGCUAAUCUCAAAAAGCCGAUCGUAGUCCGGAUUGGAGUCUGCAACUCGACUCCAUGAAGUCGGAAUCGCUAGUAAUCGCGGAUCAGAAUGCCGCGGUGAAUACGUUCCCGGGCCUUGUACACACCGCCCGUCACACCAUGGGAGUUUGUUGCACCAGAAGUAGCUAGCCUAACUGCAAAGAGGGCGGUUACCACGGUGUGGCCGAUGACUGGGGUGAAGUCGUAACAAGGUAGCCGUAGGGGAACCUGCGGUUGGAUCACCUCC